GGCCUAUAAAAGGGCAUAGAAAGGGGAAAAACGCCAUUAGUUGUGAAAAGAGUGGUGCUGAGCAGGCACAGAUUAAUAAUGAUCUCAAAUGUUUUUCUUUUAUAGUAGGGUGGUAUUUGUUUUUGAGGAUAGAGUCUAACGUCGAUUUUUAUUUAAAUAAUUAAAGCCCCUGAGACUGCAAAAGGAGGCGACGGAAUAAAUCUAGUGGAAAGGUUAUCCAGGAAAAUAUUGACAGUGAUUCCUACAUCGUAGUAGCCCCAGAAUCCACGGCGCAACCAGCGUUUGUUGCAGAAGUAAGGUAGGAGCGUUCCAUUUAAUUUUUCCAAAGUUUAAUGUGGCCGAGAAUUUGAA